rnacentral:rRNA from 1 species
CGGGACACGUGGUAUCCUGUCUGAAUAUGGGGGGACCAUCCUCCAAGGCUAAAUACUCCUGACUGACCGAUAGUGAACCAGUACCGUGAGGGAAAGGCGAAAAGAACCCCGGCGAGGGGAGUGAAAAAGAACCUGAAACCGUGUACGUACAAGCAGUGGGAGCCUCUUUAUGGGGUGACUGCGUACCUUUUGUAUAAUGGGUCAGCGACUUAUAUUCUGUAGCAAGGUUAACCGAAUAGGGGAGCCGAAGGGAAACCGAGUCUUAACUGGGCGUUAAGUUGCAGGGUAUAGACCCGAAACCCGGUGAUCUAGCCAUGGGCAGGUUGAAGGUUGGGUAACACUAACUGGAGGACCGAACCGACUAAUGUUGAAAAAUUAGCGGAUGACUUGUGGCUGGGGGUGAAAGGCCAAUCAAACCGGGAGAUAGCUGGUUCUCCCCGAAAGCUAUUUAGGUAGCGCCUCGUGAAUUCAUCUCCGGGGGUAGAGCACUGUUUCGGCAAGGGGGUCAUCCCGACUUACCAACCCGAUGCAAACUGCGAAUACCGGAGAAUGUUAUCACGGGAGACACACGGCGGGUGCUAACGUCCGUCGUGAAGAGGGAAACAACCCAGACCGCCAGCUAAGGUCCCAAAGUCAUGGUUAAGUGGGAAACGAUGUGGGAAGGCCCAGACAGCCAGGAUGUUGGCUUAGAAGCAGCCAUCAUUUAAAGAAAGCGUAAUAGCUCACUGGUCGAGUCGGCCUGCGCGGAAGAUGUAACGGGGCUAAACCAUGCACCGAAGCUGCGGCAGCGACACUGUGUGUUGUUGGGUAGGGGAGCGUUCUGUAAGCCU